rnacentral:rRNA from 1 species
UACGAAGGGGGCUAGCGUUGUUCGGAAUCACUGGGCGUAAAGCGCACGUAGGCGGACCUGCAAGUCGGGGGUGAAAGCCCGAGGCUCAACCUCGGAACUGCCUUCGAUACUGCGGGUCUCGAGUCCGGGAGAGGUGAGUGGAAUUCCUAGUGUAGAGGUGAAAUUCGUAGAUAUUAGGAAGAACACCAGUGGCGAAGGCGGCUCACUGGCCCGGUACUGACGCUGAGGCGCGAAAGCGUGGGGAGCAAACAGG